rnacentral:sRNA from 1 species
UAGAAUGGAACAAAGCCAAUGUUGGUUCUGGAGAUGAAGAUCUUUCAAUCUAUGAGCUCCCCUUGAUACAGAAAUAUCUUAACCGUUUGGCCUGUACAAAGUAUAUACCAUUCUGUUCUGGUUUUAUUUUUGAUAAGCGCGAAGAAUCAAACAGCAAGACCAAGGAUCUAGAAAUGACGACAUUCUCUGAAAAUGGACAUCUUGAAAUCCGAAUGUAGGAAAUAGGAAAUGAACAAGAACGACCAGAAUGCACAUAUUACAGAAUUAAAAAAAACAAUUAGGACUCAUGAUCUUUUAUGUGACAUCGAAGUAAUAAUCACUUUCGAUUAGUGAAUGUUGAAAGUAUGACUGUGAAUAGUGUCCGACACAUACAUGAAUUGUUUUUUUGUAUUAUUAUCUGUAUAUAUUUUCUGAUAUACAUAAUUUUAAUACA